AGAGUUUGAUCAUGGCUCAGAUUGAACGCUGGCGGUAGGUUUCAAACAUGCAAGUCGAGCGGUAACAGACAUUUUGAUUCAGCUUGCUGAAUCUCGUGCUGACGAGCGGCGAACGGGUGAGUAACACGUAGGAAUCUACCCAGUAGCGGGGGAUAGCCCGAGGAAACUCGGAUUAAUACCGCAUAAUCCCUAAGGGGGAAAGGGGGCAUUUUUUGCUCUCACUAUUGGAUGAGCCUGCGUAAGAUUAGCUUGUUGGUAGGGUAAAGGCCUACCAAGGCAACGAUCUUUAGCUGGUCUGAGAGGACGAUCAGCCACAUUGGGACUGAGACACGGCCCAGACGUCUACGGACGGCAGCAGUUAAGAAUAUUGGACAAUGGGGGAAACCCUGAUCCAGCCAUACCGCGUGUGUGAAGAAGGCCUUAGGGUUGUAAAGCACUUUAAGCAACGAAGAAGAAAAAUAAAUUAAUACCUUAUUUUUUUGACAUUAAUUGCAGAAUAA
rnacentral:rRNA from 1 species